AUGCCAUCUCCUGCCUCCUUCUCCAGGAAGUCCUCCCAGAAUGCUUACUUGACACUAUUUUUUUCUCUUUUUGCCAACUUCUUUUCCUGCGUUAUAUAUCGUAUCCUGUGUCACGCACGGUGCCUACAGGAAACAGCUGACAUAUUCAAAUUGGGCAAUUUGAGGAGAGUUUUAAAAAAGGUCCAUUUACAAAGGCAACAGCAGGGGCUCCCAAUGGGAUCAAUCCAGACAGCAAGAUAGAGUGUUGGCCACCUCCAUGCAGGGCAGCUUCUCGGACACAGGGCAGGGUGGAGAAAGGUACAGAGUGGAUCCAAG
rnacentral:lncRNA from 1 species